rnacentral:lncRNA from 1 species
UGGUGCUGCCCAGCAUUCAGCUUCAGAGCAAUGGGGUGUUUCUGCAAGCACUUCAGCCUCAAUGUCUGCCUGGCCUGGCUCAUCAAUGAGCUCUGGGCAGGGUUUGAGCAUGGAGCUGUGGGUGCUUGGAUGAGCUGUGAGGCACAACCUAAGCAAGCUGAUAGCAAAGAGCAUCGUGAGGAGUGCAUUGGACUGAUGAGGACAGAGCACCCACCUCUGCUGGGAUCCACAAAACAUCUCUUUGAGUGGAACAACCCUCAGUUUUGGAAGGAUGGCCCCAAAGCCCCUGUGAUGGUGGCACAGAUCUGCAUGGGGAACGUAGGGCUGCAGUACGGGCUGUGAGCAGGGCAGCACCAGGGCUGCACUUCUCAGUGAGCAGCAACGAUUAUUUCAGAUCUCUGCUAUGUGAGUUAUGUUCCUCCUUCCUGAUAUGCGUUUUUGGCAACAGGAAAACAAGAAAACUGCCUUGGAAAAUAUUAACAAAAUGAAAAUUGAGAUCGUAAAGCAUUUUGCUCUGGCCUGCUUUUCCCUUUUGUGACCGGCACCAGCAGGGCCAUAAGCCAAUUUAGGGCCAUUUAACCUCGGGGCCUUCUCACGGAAGGAAGAGCUCUGGCAGUGCACAAAGCCCAGCACCUGCAGGCUGGGAUGCAGUGCAGAUGUUCCCAGAUGUGCCGUGGGCACCGCGCUCGGGCCGUCGGGUCACGUUCUGCCUCAGUUAUUAAGGGAAUGUGAUGCUGGUUUGUAAUACCACCGACGUGUAUUUUGGACAGGUUUGGGUAAUUGGAGAAGUAAUGGAAAUUUAGCACCGUGUGGCCCUGGGGAAGAGCAAACUCCAAAAAUAAGAAGGGAAGCGCAGUGCGGAGAGCCGGCACGGCUCAGCAACUCUUCUGCUCAUUGGGAUUUUGCCUCUUCCUUUAGGAGUUCCUUGGCUGCAGCAAUCCUCGUGGUGACACCUCUUGCUUUGCAGUGUUUUCUCCACCAGGUCUCCAUAGCUGGAGGCCAACCACUCGUUUCCCUUUGGCACCCAACCCACUGAGCGCUCGCAGCCCCUUUGCAUCCUGAGAACUCACCAACAAAUUGCUUCCACACUCUGGCCCAACAUCAAAACUCGUGCAGUACAAGGGUUAACCAACUUAAACGUUUAAAGAGUCAUGAAAUGGACGGUUUCCGCUUUCCAUCUGGCUUUUAUCAGUCCUAAGUCGGUUUCAGAAGUACAGCUACACAAUCAAAACACACAAUCUCCCUAGUCAGAUAAUUCAAUUUCAUAAAUGAAUUACUUAUGUGCCUGUAAGUAAAUACAUUCCUAUGUGGGGAGAUAUUGACUGCUGUCAAUGGAAUAAUGAGGUCCAGGGGAAGUGGCUGCGGCCCCUCGGGGGUGUUCUGUAGAGAUGUGGGACUGAUGGAGCUUCCAGGAUGGGGGAUCUGAGGGGAGAGGAGGGGCUGCCCGUGGGAGGGUCACCUCGAGCCACCCUUGGGGACCACGCAUGGGCUGUGAGUGGUGUGAUGGAUGGGAAAGGGGAUGGACUCGGCCACGGGUUUGUGCCUCGUGGGAUCUUCUGUGAUGGGGUCAGUGGUUGGGUGUGAUAACCUGAGAAGUCUUUUCCAGCUUUAAUGAUUCCAUGAUUCUGAUAUCUAGGGGAAAACGUUGGAGGAGGUGCCCAGAGAGAGCCUCAGGAUCCUGCUCAGGAGGGCAGUUGUUCUCAGCUUUCCCAUGCAGACAGAUCUCCUCCCCCCAUAGCCCCUCCUUGCUCCCCAGGAUGCUAAAAACCCCACCCUUAUGCUCACGUACUUCAUACACGAAGACCUGAUGCUGCAGGAGGUGAUUUGGCAGCUAUUGCAUUUUGGUGUCUUUUUUUAACGUGGACCUCAUCAGUGCAGGCAUGGGCACGAAUAUGCAUCCAUGGACCCACUUGGGUGUUACACAGCAAAGUGUUGCACAAGGGAAAUGUGGAGUUGUGCUGCUGAGCUUCCCCUGGGGUAAGGAAACUGCAAAAUCUGACAGUAUGCACAUCUCAGCCCUGUGGUAAUCAAUCUGCUGCCUUCUAGUUCCAUCUCUUCAUUUAACAGUGAGCUUCAAGUACCCAAAGCCCCUAUCAGGAUGGCAGCGCUGGGCUUUAUUGUCUCUUUGACAUCUAUUUAAUUGCAACCGUGUCAAAUUGCAAACAGGACAGCAUUCAGUUGCUUGAGCAUAGCUGGUAUGGCUGGCUGCUAGGAGCUCGUAGUGUUUCCCACCCUGCACACGUCUCCUUGCCCUAAGCCUCCCCUUUUGCAGUGAUUUUCUGUAGUGAGGAUUUGAUGCACUGUGAGCAGUGCUGGCAGGGCUGCAUUGCUGAGCUCUGUGUCGGUGCCUGCUGGGGUUUCAUCCAUGUCAAGCAGGAGCUGGAAGCUGCUAUCAAGCAAAAUGAAAUAAAAAGCAAAUAUCACAGGUUUGAAGGAAAACC